rnacentral:rRNA from 1 species
GUAACGCGUAUGCAAUCUACCUUUUACAGAGGGAUAGCCCAGAGAAAUUUGGAUUAAUACCUCAUAGUAUGUGAGAAUCGCAUGGUUUUCACAUUAAAGUUCCAACGGUAAAAGAUGAGCAUGCGUCCCAUUAGCUAGAUGGUAAGGUAACGGCUUACCAUGGCGACGAUGGGUAGGGGUCCUGAGAGGGAGAUCCCCCACACUGGUACUGAGACACGGACCAGACUCC